GGUUUGACUGCCCCGAGGCGGAAGCUUCGAUCGCCCCGACACAUGGUUCGACUACCCCGACCACGGGAGAAUAAAGAGGAAGAAGACUGGACUUUUUUGCCUUCCAUCACAGUGAGAAAUGUGGGGAAUCCACUGUGGUGGAUGUUUAUGUUAACUUUUAUGUAGAUGUGUGUUUUGUUGCUUUUUUUUCCUUUCCCGUAUGGUUGUAUGGUAAUUUGCAUAUCACUGUACCUUAAUUGGUACACGUGACAAUUGACAAUAAAAGACCUUUGAAAUCUUUGAAUAUGAGUUCGGUCAGUGGUUCUCGACAGUAAAUGAGUCAAACAGACAAGCAAGAUCUCAUCUGCUAAACUAAAUGAUUUUGUCUGGUACAUUGUAAGAAAGCCACAAUUAGUUAAUGGAGGAGAGAAAGGAGAAAAUAUAAGCCUGAAUAUGUUAUUGAGUCAUAGAGACAUAUAGUGUGGAAACAGGGCCUUCGGCCCGACUUGUCCACAGCGACCAACAUGUCCCAUCCACAUGUCCCACCUGCUUGUGUUUGGCCCAGAUCCCACUAAAUCUGUCCUAUCUAUGUGCCUGUUCAAAUGUUUCUUAAACAUUGCAACUGUACCUGCCUUAACUACCUCCUCCGGCAUCUCGUUCCAUACACCCACCAUUAUUUGUGUGAAAAAAUUAUACCUCAGGUUCCAUUAAUGUCCCCCCCUCACCUUAAACCUCUGUCACCUGGUUGUAUUAAUGUGUGUCAGCAACUCCCGUUCAGGACAGAAUCUCCUACAUUCAGUCAUCUAACAAUUCUUACAACCAAUGGCCAUUUUAAUUAGAUAUUAGGCCCAGCAUCCAAGGAACUGGAGCUGGAAUGGAGUCUUUGGAAAUUUGAUAGAGAAGUCUGCCAAGGAUAAAUCAUAGCAGUGCACAAACUGCAGUGGAAAUGGAUCGUUCGACACGGGAACAGAAGACAGCAAAUCUAAACCACAGACAAUCCUGAUGUGCGCAGAGUGGAAGUGUUAAAAUGCCAUUAAUGAAUCAGGAUCUGAGCAUGAAAUUACAAGUGGAUUGAAAUCCUGGAAGGAACUUUAUUACUUUUAGUCCACAUUAACAGAAACACCAGGACAACAAAGGUGAAAGACCAUUAUUGGAAAUUAAAUAAAGAGCAGCUGUUC